AUGCGCGGCCGUGGCGGCGGCUCCCGUCCUCGAGGGCGCGGCAGGGGCAGGCACAACAGCGGCCCCAACAACAGCAGCAGCAACUCCCGUGGCCACAACGGCGGCGGUGGCCGGCCCUCCUCCAACAACAACCAGGGCCGCCGCAACAACUCCAACAACAGAUCGCGCCCCGAUGCCGUCCGAUGUCAAAUCUGUGGUAAACCUGGCCACUCGGCCAAGGAUUGCUGGUACAGGUUUGACGAUGAUGAUGACUCCUCUCAGGACGAGAAGGUAGCUGCUGCGGCCGAUGGAUCGUAUGGCGUGGACACCAACUGGUACAUGGAUAGUGGUGCCACGAACCACAUCACCGGCGAACUCGAGAAGGUGACCAUGCGGGAGAAGUACCGUGGCCAAGAUCACAUCCACACCGCGAGUGGAGAAGGUAUGAAGAUCCGUCAUGUUGGUCACUCAAUUAUUAAAACCCCUCAUCGUCCAAUUCAUCUUCGAAAAUUUUUGCAUGUCCCUAGUGCAUCUAAAAAUCUUCUCUCCGUUCACCGCAUUGCUAUUGAUAAUCACGUCUUCCUCGAGUUUCACCCUUUCUUCUUUUUGAUCAAGGAUCAGGUAACGAGGAAGGUACUGUAUCGAGGUAGAUGUGUUCGCGGGCUCUACCCCUUGAUUCCGGAGCUUCGAAGAAGGUUCAAUAAACAAGCCUUUAGUGCCACCAAGCUAUCCUCUACACGGUGGCAUGAUCGUUUAGGACAUGCAACUUUUUCUUUAGUUGAACGAGUGCUUAGGAAAAAUAAACUCCCGUUUGUUGGAGAGCGUGAUGUUGAAACUAUUUGUGAUUCGUGUCAAAGAGCAAAAAGUCAUCAGUUACCAUAUCCAAUUUCCACUAGUGUUUCAACCAAAGCAUUGCAGCUUAUCUUUUCUGAUGUGUGGGGGCCUGCCCCAUCCUCUGUUGGUAGACACACAUAUUAUAUGAGCUUCAUAGAUGAUUAUAGCAAAUAUUCGUGGAUUUAUCUCCUCAAGAAACGUUCCGACGUGUUUCAAGUUUUUCGUAACUUUCAAGCACUCGUUGAACGUAAGUUUGACAGCAAAAUACUUGCCCUCCAAUCUGAUUGGGGCGGUGAGUAUGAGAAGCUCAACUCGUUCUUUCAAGAACUUGGUAUCUCUCAUCAUGUGUCUUGCCCACACGCUCAUCAGCAAAAUGGGUCGGCAGAACGCAAACAACGUCACAUUGUAGAAGUUGGCUUAGCACUUCUUGCUGGCGCCUCCAUGCCACUAAAGUUUUGGGAUGAGCCGUUCCUCACUGCCGUUCACAUCAUCAAUAUGCUUCCAAGCCGUGUCAUCAAUAAUGAAACACCCAUAGAAAAACUUCUCCAUACCAAACCAGACUACACUUCCCUUCGUGUGUUUGGCUGCGCGUGUUGGCCCAACCUUAAACCAUAUAACAAACGCAAACUAAUGUUUCGAUCUAAGCAGUGUGUCUUCAUUGGCUACAGUGCCAUGCACAAAGGGGUAAAAUGCCUAGAUGUCUCUACUGGCCGUGUCUACAUUUCCCGUGAUGUAGUCUUUGAUGAAACAAAGUUUCCCUUUGCUGAUCUCCACCCCAACGCCGGUGCCUUACUUCAUCAAGAAAUUCUGCUCCUGCCCUCUCAUCUCACCAACUUUGAUCAAAGGGGAAAUAAUAAUUGUGUUGAUUCAUCAUUGACUAAUCCUCAUAACCAUGUGCAUGAGCUCUGUGUUGAUGCAGCCGAAGGAAGCAGGAGCAAAAAUGGUGAAGAAAUCAGCCAAAAUGAUCAAGAAAUCAGUUCAAAUGGGCAAUAUUUGAUGUGUCCAGAUUUGGGAGGCAGCAAAUCUGCCUCGGGAUCGCUGCUGCAGCACCUGCCCAGGCCAUCCGCCUCGGGAUCUGCACCGCUGCAUGGCGCCAGCGCGUCAGAAAUCGCGUAG
rnacentral:rRNA from 1 species